rnacentral:rRNA from 1 species
CACGUAGGGGCCAAGCGUUGUCCGGAUUUAUUGGGCGUAAAGAGCUCGUAGGCGGUUGGGUAAGUCGGGUGUGAAAAACUCUGGGCUCAACUCAGAGACGCCACCCGAUACUGCUCUGACUUGAGUCCGGUAGGGGAGUGGGGAAUUCCUGGUGUAGCGGUGGAAUGACGCAGAUAUCAGGAGGAACACCGGUGGCGAAGGCGGGUCUCUGGGCCGAUACUGACGCUGGAGGAGCGAAAGCGUGGGGAGCGAACAGG